UAGAAUCAAUUUAAUAUCCUGCAUUUAUUAUUGGAAAUGCCUUGUAAAUGUGCCGAAAUAAAAUAUAUAUACUUAAUGUACAAGUAAAUUAAUAAAACAAUUGCAUUAAAAACAGUUCAUAAGACCCUUACAUAGCCUCCAUAAUAAGUAGUGACCCAGUGCGGCCGAGAAGAAACGCCAUACAAUUUCUUGCAGUCGUCGAUGUAGUUGCUUCGAUCAAAAGGAUCAGGUGGGAACAUUGUAGUAUUGUCAAUGCCUAUGGGCAUCACCAUCUCGCUACAUCUCUAAUUAAAAUUAAAAAACACACCACUCAUUAUAAUGUUGUCAUAUGUUACGAUCAAAAUUUGGCACGUGGUUAAGUUUCUAUCAUACAUGCAAAUGGAUAUAUAAUGACUUCAUUUUCUUCAUCGAUCAAAAGGGUGUGUGAACAUACUUAAAUAUUGUUUGACCUUCAAGGAUACCUGUUCUUGUUCUUGAAGUUAUCACUAAAUCUCUACUUCAGCCUUGCGCUGCAUGACCAACCAAUCUGGAUCACUGUCUUGGUUUGCUCUAAGAAUAUCCAGGCAGUGAGAACCUGCAAAUUAUAUAAUGAUUUUGUAUCAGUAACAAAUCGAUAUAUAUUUAUGUACAUAAUUUUGAAUAUAUAUGUAAAUAUUAUUUCAAAUAUGCGUCACAUACCAUUGACCGUGUGAAUGGCAACCACGCUUUCUGAUAUGUCCUCCAAUACCCUGCGAUAUAUAUAGCAUGCUUUAUUAUUAGCCAUAAUUUAUAUAUAUACAUAUAUAAUUAAGGUAAGUUUGUUUAGUCCUUAUAUUUUGAGGUUAUUAACCGUUUAAUCCUUAUAUUUUUCAAAAGUACCUCAAAACAUCGUUGCAGUUAAAUUAUUGAACCCUCUGCCAUUACUUUUUGUUUCUUUUGGCUUACUUUUAUAAUAUUAUACUCUUGUAAUAAUGUUUUUUUUUUACAUUAAUAAAAAGAAAAAAUUUAAUAAAAAGAAAAAAUUAAAGUGCCACUUUAAUUUACAAAUAAAAUAGAAACAAAAAGAAUAUAUAAUAAUUUUUGUAGAAUACUCUGUUGAGGAGCUAAUAUUUUAAUUUUUUAUUAAUGCCCAAAAAAGGUAAUUUCAUGUCUUUUACAAUAUUAAAUUUUUUUGGAGCUUUCACAAAAAUUAAUACAAAUUCUUUUUGCUUUAUUUCAUUUUUGGGCUAAAUUGAUAAUUUAAUUUUUUUAUUAAUGUCUAAAUAAAAAGAAACAUUAUUGUAAGAGGGUAAUAUUGUAAAAAAAAAGCCAAAAGGAAUACAAAGUAAUGACAUGGAUGUCAAUAGUUUAAUGACAAGAAUAUUUCAAGAUAUUUUUUAAAAUACAAGUACUAAAUGGAAUCUAAACUCAAAAUAUAGGAACUAAAUAAGCUUUUACCCAAGUUAAUUAUCCUUUAGUGAGGGCUUCCUCUCUUUAAAAGUGAGAAUGCCACAAACAAAUUUAAAAUAAAAAAACACAUGCGUGCAAACAUAUAAGCAUAUGACACCUGUUUAAAAUAAAAUAAUUUUUAUGUUAAUUACCCGCCACUGCUGUAAGGAUCUCUAAGCCCAUUGGAGAAAAUAAUGUUGCUAGCAAAUCUUUGUAGAAUCAAUUUAAUAUCCUGCAUUUAUUAUUGGAAAUGCCUUGUAAAUGUGCCGAAAUAAAAUAUAUAUACUUAAUGUACAAGUAAAUUAAUAAAACAAUUGCAUUAAAAACAGUUCAUAAGACCCUUACAUAGCCUCCAUAAUAAGUAGUGACCCAGUGCGGCCGAGAAGAAACGCCAUACAAUUUCUUGCAGUCGUCGAUGUAGUUGCUUCGAUCAAAAGGAUCAGGUGGGAACAUUGUAGUAUUGUCAAUGCCUAUGGGCAUCACCAUCUCGCUACAUCUCUAAUUAAAAUUAAAAAACACACCACUCAUUAUAAUGUUGUCAUAUGUUACGAUCAAAAUUUGGCACGUGGUUAAGUUUCUAUCAUACAUGCAAAUGGAUAUAUAAUGACUUCAUUUUCUUCAUCGAUCAAAAGGGUGUGUGAACAUACUUAAAUAUUGUUUGACCUUCAAGGAUACCUGUUCUUGUUCUUGAAGUUAUCACUAACGCUUGUUAGAACUAUAAUUUAAUAAUGACAAACAUGAACCAUAAUAAUCAUUAUAUUGGAGGUUGAAUUUUCUUCUAAAUUAAAAGAAUGUAAGAAUAUUGUGAUGUUUUUGAAUGUAAAUUACCUGCCAAUAUUGUGAUGUUUUUGAAUGUAAAUUACCU
rnacentral:lncRNA from 1 species